AUGAUGGUUCCAGCGCAGGACCCGCAGAAGCCGCGCUCUCAGCCGGAAUUGCCUCAGAUGUUCCAGGCAGAAGCCCAGGAGGCCUCCAGGAACCGCCAGACCGGCAGGAGGAACGUCGAGGUCCAAGGCACAAGUCAGAGGUUCCUGGUCUGCAGGGGCCCAAGGCCUGCGUCACUACGGAGGGCCCCCCGUCCCCAUUCCUAG
rnacentral:lncRNA from 1 species